UACGAAGGGGGCGAGCGUUGUUCGGAUUUACUGGGCGUAAAGGGCGCGUAGGCGGCCUUGUCAGUCAGGCGUGAAAGCCCCGGGCUCAACCUGGGAACGGUGCUUGGGACGGCGAGGCUGGAGUUCGGGAGAGGAGAGUGGAAUUCCCAGUGUAGAGGUGAAAUUCGUAGAUAUUGGGAAGAACACCGGUGGCGAAGGCGGCUCUCUGGACCGACACUGACGCUGAGGCGCGAAAGCGUGGGGAGCAAACAGG
rnacentral:rRNA from 1 species